AUUAACUUCAAAAUCCUAAGGCUUGAAAACCUUGAUUGGAAUUGAGUGUAAGCAAACAACUCCUAAAUCAAGGAUACUUUGGACCUGAGUUCUAUAAGCCAAAGUUGGAUUUGAGAUUAAGGAGCAACUUUGCUUUAGGAGGAUGGAUAAGUUUGCUUUUGAUAUGUGAAUUAGUAGUAUCUCUAACCCCUAAACUGGAGCCCAAAAGUGGAUUUGGAGAUCUAGCCACAUUUUGCAAGAGGUAAAAAUACCAAGUUGGUAGGAUUUCCAAAGCUGCACAAUUUUGUUAUUUGGAGAUUCCCAUGUUGUGUGGAGAAAAUUGGAGUAAAUCACAAGAGUUCAGUUUUGAGCUCAAAUUGGAAUUGCUGAAAAUAGUAGCAACUAGGCAAUUUUGGUCCUUUAUAACUUCUGAUCUAUAAACAUUUGGAAGAUGGUCAUUGUAACAAAGUUAUACAGCUAUGUGAGGAGUGUGACUUUGAUUAAGUAACCUAUCCUUAAAUCUAUAUGGGAUUUGGAGAAGAACUGGUCUAAAGAAGAGCUGUUAGAAAAUAUGGAUUUCAGACUUAGUGAAAUUCAGAUUCUGAAUUUCAGCAAUUGGAGCAAACUUUGGGGCUAUUGUAGUUUGGAAUCCAAGAGGUUUUGGUUAAUGGUCACUGUAACAAACUUGUUGAGUAAUUGUAGGAGAACAACUUGUAUUAAGUGUACUAGCCCUAAAUCCGCAUGGAACUAGGAGAAAAAGUGGUUCAAAGUGGAACUGACAGGUUUUAUUUCAGACUUAGUCUAUGGCUGAUUGAGACCUGAAUUUCAGAUAAAAGUGUUAAGUUUGGAGCUCCUUGGUGGUCAAUACCUUUGUUUUUAGGCUGUAGUUUCUGUAGCAAACUUGGAGACCAAUGUUGGGGGAGUAAUCUCUAGUAAGGGACAUACCCUUGAAACUGCUUAGAAAUGAGAGAAAACACUGCACAAAGUUGUGCUGUCAGAUAAAAGAGUAUUGACUGUUGUGCAGUAGCCUAAGUCUGAAAUAUGUGUCUGAUUAAACUUUGGAGCUUUGUGGUGCUUGAUCUAUACGGUUUUGGACUGAAGUUAUUGUGGAAAGUUUGAGGACCAUAUGUUAGUGAAUAAGUUCCUUAAAGUGUGUUGGGCGUGACCCUACACAAAAAGUGGUGUAAAUACUGCCCAAAGUGGGACUGUCAGUCACACAAACUGGAUUUCACUCAGUCCAAUGAAAACUGAAUUUCAGUGCAAUUUGCUGAACUUCAGAGCUCUUUUGUGGCUAAUCCAUAAAGUGUUGGACCAUGGUGUCUAUAGUGAAUUGGUAAACCAUAGAAAGGUGAACAACUCUCUUGAGAAGGUUUGGGUCUGGUACUGUAUAGAAACCUAAGUUAAAUGCCCUCGAACAUUGACUGCCAAUCGGUGCUGUGAAUUGAAUGUGAUUCAAAAGCUAAAAACGAAUUUCAGUAAAUUGUGACCAACUCCGGAGUAUCAUAACUUGUGAUUCUUGUGUGAUUGGACCAAGAAGUUUGUAGUAACGUUGGAGACCGUAUAUCAAUGAACAAAUUUUAUUAUGAAGGUUUGGCUUGACACCAUAUUGGUUUGGGAGAAAAGGGAGGCUCAAACUGCCUCGAGCAGAAAAGAAGGAGGAGGGGGUGAUCUGAACUCGAAAUUCAGACCAGCAGAAAGGCGCUAAUAAAAUUUGGUUGAUUUCUGGGCACCGUAACUUUGGAACUGUGAAGUUUGAGUCCCAGAACCCUAUAGUGACUUUGAAGAUCUUUGAUUAGUGCUGCACUAACCUUGGAGAAAAUUGGGUCAAAAUUCGUGCUGUCAGAUGGGGAGGUUAGUUUGUUAUUCAGUUAGCUGAAUUGGAGUUCUGUGUUUUCACCCAUUUUUUGGGUUGUUUGGUGUUGAAUCCAGGAAGUAUAAGGCUAUGGUUUCUAUAGCAAUUUGAUAGAGGGUUGAUUGGAGAACAUAUAUAUUCAGCAUAACCUUUCUGUUAUUACUGCAAAUUGAGAGAUCAAGGGGGGAGAAGGGUGGAGUGUUCAGUCGGCAUCGAAGUUGAUGGCAGAUAUUUCUGGAAAAAAAAAAAUCUGCGCUCUGCUGUGCUCCAUUUGCACGGUUGUGGAUGAGAUCAAAUGCGUGGGGGUCAGCAGGGUGGGUUCAAUCGGCUGCUGCUGCAUUUUUUGUCUCAAGUGGUUGAAGCGUGGUUCAGAUUUUGGGUAGAAUAAAAAAGAGUUCCAUUUUUUUUAUCUCCACCGCCCUCUCCUUUCUACCUGAUCCGUAAACUGUCCUUGCUUCUAGUCAUUUCCGUCAUUCUUAUCCCGUCACGCGCUCAGUUUGCUCGUUCGUUUCCAGCCCCUCGUCUUCCUCCCUCUCGUCGUGCUCCUCAGCCGAGGUUGCGAGGACUCUCCCUGUAAUCGUCUCCUCCAUGUCGGCAUCUUCCCCCAUCUCUCCAACGCCGUCCAGCCACUAAGCAGCUCGCCGGAGCAGCAACGCUCAACACCGGCUCCCAGCAUCUGUGCUUCGCCCCACCGUGGAGUCACCUCGUCGGCGUCCCCUCACUCUUCGUCCAUUCAUCGAGCUCGCCGAGCCCCUGCUCAGCCGUGCCGAGUCUCCAAGCCGGCUAUCGACGCUCGCCUUUGUUUUCGUGUUGCCGGCACCCAGUCCUUUUCUCCACGUCAGAGUGCUUGCCUCACCGUGACCGGCACUCCCCGAGAUCCUUGGGAACAUCAUGUCGCCGUCAGUGAACGCCGCUUCGAACCCAUCGCCUUGUGGACCGGCCAAUUCGAGUGUUCUUUGAUUGAGUUUGCGCGAGCACCGUAGCGGUGAACAUCUAGAAGAAGUGGUGUUUGAAGGAGUCUACUCCAAUGCCUGCUCAUCAAGUGGAUGGAGCUAUCUAACUAAAGGUUGGGUAGAAGGAUUUUGGGAUCUUCUCCUGCAAUAAGGCAAGCCCCGGUGCAUUUGCCACCUUCCUUGUAUUACAAAAUUUUAUCACUUAUAUGCUGCAUUAGGUAAUAGGAGUUGUGUGAUGAACAAUUGAUGCAUUACCAUUCCUUGGAAUUUGAAUACUAUACCUUGAUCCCUGAUUUAUAAAAAGAACUGAUAAUGCUUAACCCUGCUUAGAAACUGAAAAAUCAUUUGUUUUCAAAAAGAAUGAUUGUGGAACAUUGGUUAUCGGCUUUUUGAUUCAAAAAUCAAAGCAAACUAAGGUGAUGACUCCACUUCGGCCGGAGUGGGCUCAUCAUUGGAAAAGAGUACCCCUGCCGGGUACCAAAAAUGGGGAAAUGGUUAAUAAAUCUAGACCAGGCGCUGAGCAGACAGAGUCGCCCGUCUGUGUCGAUUAAGGACCGUACCGUUGACUGGCCUGUUGUGGUUGAGACUUUGCAACUAGCCACAUACCCUGGUAUGGGACAGGGUAAGCUUGAACCCGGCUAUUCCAUACGUGAAGAGACAAUCGCGCACUGGGAGUGGAGAGAUGGCGGGAGUAGCAUGUACCCUCCUGGCAUAGUAGCACGCUUGGUAGGGUAAUGUGCUCUCGGGUGGCGCGGACCUGUUCAUGUAGUGGAGGACUCCGUGGGAACGGUUGACAUAUGCAAGGGUUAAGUGCUACAUAUGUCGUGUGGUUAGAGAUCCCCAGCUGGGUAUAAUCGGUUCGAAUCGUCGUUGCUCCUCGGUUAUGGAGACUCAUCCCGGUGACCAUCAUCGUAGUUAGCAAGUGAAAUAUGAGAAUGAAUAAAAUGGAGCUAGUAUAGGCCAAGUGCUUGAACUAGAUCAGGCAAAUAUAGAUUCAGGUAAUAACCUAACUAGUGAAAUAAAACUUGGCUUAAGGAUCAACUGGUAGCAAGCUUUUCUGCAAAAAAGGAGUCUUUGAUCAUUGAUAAACUUUACCUUGACUCCCAAUCAGCUAGCAUACCCUUGAGAGUCUUUUCUUUAGUCGGGUAAGUCUUGCUGAGUAAUUGCGUACUCAGGGUUUUAUCCCCUGUUGUUUUUGCAGGAGAAGUUCUAUUCCCUUAUCUUUUGGUUAGUUACUUCAUGUGGAGGCCUUGAAGCUUAGAAUGUUUUUAUCUCUUAUGGAAAGGCUUCACCCUUCCAAUUAUUGUAAUAAGUUAUGCACAUCGAGUACUAUCAGGACUUGUAAUAAAUACAUCUCUUUCUACCAUGUAAAACUUGAGUUCUGGAAUGUAAAGUGUACUUUGUAAAAGUCUUCCGCUCUAUCUCCAAUGUGUGUGUAUCAAAUGUGAUUACUGUAAUAUACCUGUUAUGUGGGAGAUCCUUGGGAUGAUGAGUUCCAGUUGGCGAACUCGAUAGCCUUGUUAAGUUACCCGGUACACGUGCACAGCCAUCUGAGGUCAUUAAGGCAAGGAUUGGUGCAUGUGGGCCUGAUAACUUGGGAGGGCUGUCACAGCGUGGUAUCGGAGCGAUCCCCCAUUAUCAUGGAUAUUAAAGUAAUCCUUUGAUAAAGUUCAAAAGGAUUUUGAGUCCAAACUAUUUUGGAAAAACAUAAGAAUAUGAUCAAAUCCUGAUAGUCGAAGUGCAAAUAGUAUAUAGUUAAGUUAAGAACUAUAAGGUGGCUUAGUUUAGGAUGCUAACCACUAACCCACAACUAUAAUGCAAUUUUUUGCAGGUACACUAACUAAACCCUAGGAAAGUGCGACUAGUGAUAAAUAACGAGUGAGUAGGUAUGCCACCGCCAUAGAACGUGAAAGCCACUAUAUGUUGGCAAGAGUUGUGAGGACGAAUAGGACGAGCAUGCAUCAUGACAUACAAUUUUAAAUUAAGCCCCCUAUGUAGCAGUAUUAGUACAUGUUUCGUCCACCCUAUUCCUGCUAUCUGUCUUUGCCUUUCUAUGCUACCUUUUUCCUGUUCACGAAGACUGCCAACAUUCGAAACAAAGGUUUUGGUGAACCUGUGGCUUAUAAGGAACAUUUGUCAGAAGAUCUUCCAAUAGUGCACAACAUGUUCCACGUGUCUCCGUUAAAGAAAUGUCUUCGAGCCCCCAAGCAUGUUAUUGAGAUUUUAGAUGUUAACCGUGGACCAGAUUUAACCUACUUGGAAUAUUCCAUAAAGGUUUUGGAUCAAAAGGAUCGGUCACUUGAAGAAAAGUUAUCAAAUUUUACAAGCUACAGUGGAACCAACCCAAUGAAGAUGAAACUACAUAGGAAUUGGAGGAGUAUUUAGAAAAGCGUGUUCCUGAGUUUCUAGUGCCCUGUAAACCUAAGGUUUGUGUAGUUUAUUUCUGAUAUAAACCAAUAGGGACACACCCUUGCCUUAUAGGAGUAAUGGGGAAAGAAACUGGUGAAGCGUUUCCUUUUCCAUUAUCUAGCCUAGAGUUUUAAUCUCGGGACGAGAUUUCUUUUUAGAGGGGAAGACUGUAACACCCCUGGUGUUACGUGAACUAAAACUUUGACAUGUCAUCAUAAGCAUUUGCAUUAACUUGCUUGUUACACCUAGAAUGCAUUCACUAGAUCAAUAAUUUUACAAUAAGGUGAUGCUAUGUGCAGAGUAGAGGACCUAGUUAAGGACCUAAGCUAAACAGGAGUAGGUCAUCCCUUUGAGCAAGUAACAAAUUGGCUUGGAGUCUUGAAGUGCUAAAGGCAAUUCCUAGAGUCUAUAGAAAGUUUGUUUUCAAAGAUAGAUCAAGUGGAAGAAAUACUUGGACCGAAGGAUUAACUUCAAAAUCCUAAGGCUUGAAAACCUUGAUUGGAAUUGAGUGUAAGCAAACAACUCCUAAAUCAAGGAUACUUUGGACCUGAGUUCUAUAAGCCAAAGUUGGAUUUGAGAUUAAGGAGCAACUUUGCUUUAGGAGGAUGGAUAAGUUUGCUUUUGAUAUGUGAAUUAGUAGUAUCUCUAACCCCUAAACUGGAGCCCAAAAGUGGAUUUGGAGAUCUAGCCACAUUUUGCAAUAGGUAAAAAUACCAAGUUGGUAGGAUUUCCAAAGCUGCACAAUUUUGUUAUUUGGAGAUUCCCAUGUUGUGUGGAGAAAAUUGGAGUAAAUCACAAGAGUUCAGUUUUGAGCUCAAAUUGGAAUUGCUGAAAAUAGUAGCAACUAGGCAAUUUUGGUCCUUUAUAACUUCUGAUCUAUAAACAUUUGGAAGAUGGUCAUUGUAACAAAGUUAUACAGCUAUGUGAGGAGUGUGACUUUGAUUAAGUAACCUAUCCUUAAAUCUAUAUGGGAUUUGGAGAAGAACUGGUCUAAAGAAGAGCUGUUAGAAAAUAUGGAUUUCAGACUUAGUGAAAUUCAGAUUCUGAAUUUCAGCAAUUGGAGCAAACUUUGGGGCUAUUGUAGUUUGGAAUCCAAGAGGUUUUGGUUAAUGGUCACUGUAACAAACUUGUUGAGUAAUUGUAGGAGAACAACUUGUAUUAAGUGUACUAGCCCUAAAUCCGCAUGGAACUAGGAGAAAAAGUGGUUCAAAGUGGAACUGACAGGUUUUAUUUCAGACUUAGUCUAUGGCUGAUUGAGACCUGAAUUUCAGAUAAAAGUGUUAAGUUUGGAGCUCCUUGGUGGUCAAUACCUUUGUUUUUAGGCUGUAGUUUCUGUAGCAAACUUGGAGACCAAUGUUGGGGGAGUAAUCUCUAGUAAGGGACAUACCCUUGAAACUGCUUAGAAAUGAGAGAAAACACUGCACAAAGUUGUGCUGUCAGAUAAAAGAGUAUUGACUGUUGUGCAGUAGCCUAAGUCUGAAAUAUGUGUCUGAUUAAACUUUGGAGCUUUGUGGUGCUUGAUCUAUACGGUUUUGGACUGAAGUUAUUGUGGAAAGUUUGAGGACCAUAUGUUAGUGAAUAAGUUCCUUAAAGUGUGUUGGGCGUGACCCUACACAAAAAGUGGUGUAAAUACUGCCCAAAGUGGGACUGUCAGUCACACAAACUGGAUUUCACUCAGUCCAAUGAAAACUGAAUUUCAGUGCAAUUUGCUGAACUUCAGAGCUCUUUUGUGGCUAAUCCAUAAAGUGUUGGACCAUGGUGUCUAUAGUGAAUUGGUAAACCAUAGAAAGGUGAACAACUCUCUUGAGAAGGUUUGGGUCUGGUACUGUAUAGAAACCUAAGUUAAAUGCCCUCGAACAUUGACUGCCAAUCGGUGCUGUGAAUUGAAUGUGAUUCAAAAGCUAAAAACGAAUUUCAGUAAAUUGUGACCAACUCCGGAGUAUCAUAACUUGUGAUUCUUGUGUGAUUGGACCAAGAAGUUUGUAGUAACGUUGGAGACCGUAUAUCAAUGAACAAAUUUUAUUAUGAAGGUUUGGCUUGACACCAUAUUGGUUUGGGAGAAAAGGGAGGCUCAAACUGCCUCGAGCAGAAAAGGAGGAGGGGGUGAUCUGAACUCGAAAUUCAGACCAGCAGAAAGGCGCUAAUAAAAUUUGGUUGAUUUCUGGGCACCGUAACUUUGGAACUGUGAAGUUUGAGUCCCAGAACCCUAUAGUGACUUUGAAGAUCUUUGAUUAGUGCUGCACUAACCUUGGAGAAAAUUGGGUCAAAAUUCGUGCUGUCAGAUGGGGAGGUUAGUUUGUUAUUCAGUUAGCUGAAUUGGAGUUCUGUGUUUUCACCCAUUUUUUGGGUUGUUUGGUGUUGAAUCCAGGAAGUAUAAGGCUAUGGUUUCUAUAGCAAUUUGAUAGAGGGUUGAUUGGAGAACAUAUAUAUUCAGCAUAACCUUUCUGUUAUUACUGCAAAUUGAGAGAUCAAGGGGGGAGAAGGGUGGAGUGUUCAGUCGGCAUCGAAGUUGAUGGCAGAUAUUUCUGGAAAAAAAAAAUCUGCGCUCUGCUGUGCUCCAUUUGCACGGUUGUGGAUGAGAUCAAAUGCGUGGGGGUCAGCAGGGUGGGUUCAAUCGGCUGCUGCUGCAUUUUUUGUCUCAAGUGGUUGAAGCGUGGUUCAGAUUUUGGGUAGAAUAAAAAAGAGUUCCAUUUUUUUUAUCUCCACCGCCCUCUCCUUUCUACCUGAUCCGUAAGCUGUCCUUGCUUCUAGUCAUUUCCGUCAUUCUUAUCCCAUCACGCGCUCAGUUUGCUCGUUCGUUUCCAGCCCCUCGUCUUCCUCCCUCUCGUCGUGCUCCUCAGCCGAGGUUGCGAGGACUCUCCCUGUAAUCGUCUCCUCCAUGUCGGCAUCUUCCCCCAUCUCUCCAACGCCGUCCAGCCACUAAGCAGCUCGCCGGAGCAGCAACGCUCAACACCGGCUCCCAGCAUCUGUGCUUCGCCCCACCGUGGAGUCACCUCGUCGGCGUCCCCUCACUCUUCGUCCAUUCAUCGAGCUCGCCGAGCCCCUUCUCAGCCGUGCCGAGUCUCCAAGCCGGCUAUCGACGCUCGCCUUUGUUUUCGUGUUGCCGGCACCCAGUCCUUUUCUCCACGUCAGAGUGCUUGCCUCACCGUGACCGGCACUCCCCGAGAUCCUUGGGAACAUCAUGUCGCCGUCAGUGAACGCCGCUUCGAACCCAUCGCCUUGUGGACCGGCCAAUUCGAGUGUUCUUUGAUUGAGUUUGCGCGAGCGCCGUAGCGGUGAACAUCUAGAAGAAGUGGUGUUUGAAGGAGUCUACUCCAAUGCCUGCUCAUCAAGUGGAUGGAGCUAUCUAACUAAAGGUUGGGUAGAAGGAUUUUGGGAUCUUCUCCUGCAAUAAGGCAAGCCCCGGUGCAUUUGCCACCUUCCUUGUAUUACAAAAUUUUAUCACUUAUAUGCUGCAUUAGGUAAUAGGAGUUGUGUGAUGAACAAUUGAUGCAUUACCAUUCCUUGGAAUUUGAAUACUAUACCUUGAUCCCUGAUUUAUAAAAAGAACUGAUAAUGCUUAACCCUGCUUAGAAACUGAAAAAUCAUUUGUUUUCAAAAAGAAUGAUUGUGGAACAUUGGUUAUCGGCUUUUUGAUUCAAAAAUCAAAGCAAACUAAGGUGAUGACUCCACUUCGGCCGGAGUGGGCUCAUCAUUGGAAAAGAGUACCCCUGCCGGGUACCAAAAAUGGGGAAAUGGUUAAUAAAUCUAGACCAGGCGCUGAGCAGACAGAGUCGCCCGUCUGUGUCGAUUAAGGACCGUACCGUUGACUGGCCUGUUGUGGUUGAGACUUUGCAACUAGCCACAUACCCUGGUAUGGGACAGGGUAAGCUUGAACCCGGCUAUUCCAUACGUGAAGAGACAAUCGCGCACUGGGAGUGGAGAGAUGGCGGGAGUAGCAUGUACCCUCCUGGCAUAGUAGCACGCUUGGUAGGGUAAUGUGCUCUCGGGUGGCGCAGACCUGUUCAUGUAGUGGAGGACUCCGUGGGAACGGUUGACAUAUGCAAGGGUUAAGUGCUACAUAUGUCGUGUGGUUAGAGAUCCCCAGCUGGGUAUAAUCGGUUCGAAUCGUCGUUGCUCCUCGGUUAUGGAGACUCAUCCCGGUGACCAUCAUCGUAGUUAGCAAGUGAAAUAUGAGAAUGAAUAAAAUGGAGCUAGUAUAGGCCAAGUGCUUGAACUAGAUCAGGCAAAUAUAGAUUCAGGUAAUAACCUAACUAGUGAAAUAAAACUUGGCUUAAGGAUCAACUGGUAGCAAGCUUUUCUGCAAAAAAGGAGUCUUUGAUCAUUGAUAAACUUUACCUUGACUCCCAAUCAGCUAGCAUACCCUUGAGAGUCUUUUCUUUAGUCGGGUAAGUCUUGCUGAGUAAUUGCGUACUCAGGGUUUUAUCCCCUGUUGUUUUUGCAGGAGAAGUUCUAUUCCCUUAUCUUUUGGUUAGUUACUUCAUGUGGAGGCCUUGAAGCUUAGAAUGUUUUUAUCUCUUAUGGAAAGGCUUCACCCUUCCAAUUAUUGUAAUAAGUUAUGCACAUCGAGUACUAUCAGGACUUGUAAUAAAUACAUCUCUUUCUACCAUGUAAAACUUGAGUUCUGGAAUGUAAAGUGUACUUUGUAAAAGUCUUCCGCUCUAUCUCCAAUGUGUGUGUAUCAAAUGUGAUUACUGUAAUAUACCUGUUAUGUGGGAGAUCCUUGGGAUGAUGAGUUCCAGUUGGCGAACUCGAUAGCCUUGUUAAGUUACCCGGUACACGUGCACAGCCAUCUGAGGUCAUUAAGGCAAGGAUUGGUGCAUGUGGGCCUGAUAACUUGGGAGGGCUGUCACAGCGUGGUAUCGGAGCGAUCCCCCAUUAUCAUGGAUAUUAAAGUAAUCCUUUGAUAAAGUUCAAAAGGAUUUUGAGUCCAAACUAUUUUGGAAAAACAUAAGAAUAUGAUCAAAUCCUGAUAGUCGAAGUGCAAAUAGUAUAUAGUUAAGUUAAGAACUAUAAGGUGGCUUAGUUUAGGAUGCUAACCACUAACCCACAACUAUAAUGCAAUUUUUUGCAGGUACACUAACUAAACCCUAGGAAAGUGCGACUAGUGAUAAAUAACGAGUGAGUAGGUAUGCCACCGCCAUAGAACGUGAAAGCCACUAUAUGUUGGCAAGAGUUGUGAGGACGAAUAGGACGAGCAUGCAUCAUGACAUACAAUUUUAAAUUAAGCCCCCUAUGUAGCAGUAUUAGUACAUGUUUCGUCCACCCUAUUCCUGCUAUCUGUCUUUGCCUUUCUAUGCUACCUUUUUCCUGUUCACGAAGACUGCCAACAUUCGAAACAAAGGUUUUGGUGAACCUGUGGCUUAUAAGGAACAUUUGUCAGAAGAUCUUCCAAUAGUGCACAACAUGUUCCACGUGUCUCCGUUAAAGAAAUGUCUUCGAGCCCCCAAGCAUGUUAUUGAGAUUUUAGAUGUUAACCGUGGACCAGAUUUAACCUACUUGGAAUAUUCCAUAAAGGUUUUGGAUCAAAAGGAUCGGUCACUUGAAGAAAAGUUAUCAAAUUUUACAAGCUACAGUGGAACCAACCCAAUGAAGAUGAAACUACAUAGGAAUUGGAGGAGUAUUUAGAAAAGCGUGUUCCUGAGUUUCUAGUGCCCUGUAAACCUAAGGUUUGUGUAGUUUAUUUCUGAUAUAAACCAAUAGGGACACACCCUUGCCUUAUAGGAGUAAUGGGGAAAGAAACUGGUGAAGCGUUUCCUUUUCCAUUAUCUAGCCUAGAGUUUUAAUCUCGGGACGAGAUUUCUUUUUAGAGGGGAAGACUGUAACACCCCUGGUGUUACGUGAACUAAAACUUUGACAUGUCAUCAUAAGCAUUUGCAUUAACUUGCUUGUUACACCUAGAAUGCAUUCACUAGAUCAAUAAUUUUACAAUAAGGUGAUGCUAUGUGCAGAGUAGAGGACCUAGUUAAGGACCUAAGCUAAACAGGAGUAGGUCAUCCCUUUGAGCAAGUAACAAAUUGGCUUGGAGUCUUGAAGUGCUAAAGGCAAUUCCUAGAGUCUAUAGAAAGUUUGUUUUCAAAGAUAGAUCAAGUGGAAGAAAUACUUGGACCGAAGGAUUAACUUCAAAAUCCUAAGGCUUGAAAACCUUGAUUGGAAUUGAGUGUAAGCAAACAACUCCUAAAUCAAGGAUACUUUGGACCUGAGUUCUAUAAGCCAAAGUUGGAUUUGAGAUUAAGGAGCAACUUUGCUUUAGGAGGAUGGAUAAGUUUGCUUUUGAUAUGUGAAUUAGUAGUAUCUCUAACCCCUAAACUGGAGCCCAAAAGUGGAUUUGGAGAUCUAGCCACAUUUUGCAAGAGGUAAAAAUACCAAGUUGGUAGGAUUUCCAAAGCUGCACAAUUUUGUUAUUUGGAGAUUCCCAUGUUGUGUGGAGAAAAUUGGAGUAAAUCACAAGAGUUCAGUUUUGAGCUCAAAUUGGAAUUGCUGAAAAUAGUAGCAACUAGGCAAUUUUGGUCCUUUAUAACUUCUGAUCUAUAAACAUUUGGAAGAUGGUCAUUGUAACAAAGUUAUACAGCUAUGUGAGGAGUGUGACUUUGAUUAAGUAACCUAUCCUUAAAUCUAUAUGGGAUUUGGAGAAGAACUGGUCUAAAGAAGAGCUGUUAGAAAAUAUGGAUUUCAGACUUAGUGAAAUUCAGAUUCUGAAUUUCAGCAAUUGGAGCAAACUUUGGGGCUAUUGUAGUUUGGAAUCCAAGAGGUUUUGGUUAAUGGUCACUGUAACAAACUUGUUGAGUAAUUGUAGGAGAACAACUUGUAUUAAGUGUACUAGCCCUAAAUCCGCAUGGAACUAGGAGAAAAAGUGGUUCAAAGUGGAACUGACAGGUUUUAUUUCAGACUUAGUCUAUGGCUGAUUGAGACCUGAAUUUCAGAUAAAAGUGUUAAGUUUGGAGCUCCUUGGUGGUCAAUACCUUUGUUUUUAGGCUGUAGUUUCUGUAGCAAACUUGGAGACCAAUGUUGGGGGAGUAAUCUCUAGUAAGGGACAUACCCUUGAAACUGCUUAGAAAUGAGAGAAAACACUGCACAAAGUUGUGCUGUCAGAUAAAAGAGUAUUGACUGUUGUGCAGUAGCCUAAGUCUGAAAUAUGUGUCUGAUUAAACUUUGGAGCUUUGUGGUGCUUGAUCUAUACGGUUUUGGACUGAAGUUAUUGUGGAAAGUUUGAGGACCAUAUGUUAGUGAAUAAGUUCCUUAAAGUGUGUUGGGCGUGACCCUACACAAAAAGUGGUGUAAAUACUGCCCAAAGUGGGACUGUCAGUCACACAAACUGGAUUUCACUCAGUCCAAUGAAAACUGAAUUUCAGUGCAAUUUGCUGAACUUCAGAGCUCUUUUGUGGCUAAUCCAUAAAGUGUUGGACCAUGGUGUCUAUAGUGAAUUGGUAAACCAUAGAAAGGUGAACAACUCUCUUGAGAAGGUUUGGGUCUGGUACUGUAUAGAAACCUAAGUUAAAUGCCCUCGAACAUUGACUGCCAAUCGGUGCUGUGAAUUGAAUGUGAUUCAAAAGCUAAAAACGAAUUUCAGUAAAUUGUGACCAACUCCGGAGUAUCAUAACUUGUGAUUCUUGUGUGAUUGGACCAAGAAGUUUGUAGUAACGUUGGAGACCGUAUAUCAAUGAACAAAUUUUAUUAUGAAGGUUUGGCUUGACACCAUAUUGGUUUGGGAGAAAAGGGAGGCUCAAACUGCCUCGAGCAGAAAAGAAGGAGGAGGGGGUGAUCUGAACUCGAAAUUCAGACCAGCAGAAAGGCGCUAAUAAAAUUUGGUUGAUUUCUGGGCACCGUAACUUUGGAACUGUGAAGUUUGAGUCCCAGAACCCUAUAGUGACUUUGAAGAUCUUUGAUUAGUGCUGCACUAACCUUGGAGAAAAUUGGGUCAAAAUUCGUGCUGUCAGAUGGGGAGGUUAGUUUGUUAUUCAGUUAGCUGAAUUGGAGUUCUGUGUUUUCACCCAUUUUUUGGGUUGUUUGGUGUUGAAUCCAGGAAGUAUAAGGCUAUGGUUUCUAUAGCAAUUUGAUAGAGGGUUGAUUGGAGAACAUAUAUAUUCAGCAUAACCUUUCUGUUAUUACUGCAAAUUGAGAGAUCAAGGGGGGAGAAGGGUGGAGUGUUCAGUCGGCAUCGAAGUUGAUGGCAGAUAUUUCUGGAAAAAAAAAAAUCUGCGCUCUGCUGUGCUCCAUUUGCACGGUUGUGGAUGAGAUCAAAUGCGUGGGGGUCAGCAGGGUGGGUUCAAUCGGCUGCUGCUGCAUUUUUUGUCUCAAGUGGUUGAAGCGUGGUUCAGAUUUUGGGUAGAAUAAAAAAGAGUUCCAUUUUUUUUAUCUCCACCGCCCUCUCCUUUCUACCUGAUCCGUAAACUGUCCUUGCUUCUAGUCAUUUCCGUCAUUCUUAUCCCGUCACGCGCUCAGUUUGCUCGUUCGUUUCCAGCCCCUCGUCUUCCUCCCUCUCGUCGUGCUCCUCAGCCGAGGUUGCGAGGACUCUCCCUGUAAUCGUCUCCUCCAUGUCGGCAUCUUCCCCCAUCUCUCCAACGCCGUCCAGCCACUAAGCAGCUCGCCGGAGCAGCAACGCUCAACACCGGCUCCCAGCAUCUGUGCUUCGCCCCACCGUGGAGUCACCUCGUCGGCGUCCCCUCACUCUUCGUCCAUUCAUCGAGCUCGCCGAGCCCCUGCUCAGCCGUGCCGAGUCUCCAAGCCGGCUAUCGACGCUCGCCUUUGUUUUCGUGUUGCCGGCACCCAGUCCUUUUCUCCACGUCAGAGUGCUUGCCUCACCGUGACCGGCACUCCCCGAGAUCCUUGGGAACAUCAUGUCGCCGUCAGUGAACGCCGCUUCGAACCCAUCGCCUUGUGGACCGGCCAAUUCGAGUGUUCUUUGAUUGAGUUUGCGCGAGCACCGUAGCGGUGAACAUCUAGAAGAAGUGGUGUUUGAAGGAGUCUACUCCAAUGCCUGCUCAUCAAGUGGAUGGAGCUAUCUAACUAAAGGUUGGGUAGAAGGAUUUUGGGAUCUUCUCCUGCAAUAAGGCAAGCCCCGGUGCAUUUGCCACCUUCCUUGUAUUACAAAAUUUUAUCACUUAUAUGCUGCAUUAGGUAAUAGGAGUUGUGUGAUGAACAAUUGAUGCAUUACCAUUCCUUGGAAUUUGAAUACUAUACCUUGAUCCCUGAUUUAUAAAAAGAACUGAUAAUGCUUAACCCUGCUUAGAAACUGAAAAAUCAUUUGUUUUCAAAAAGAAUGAUUGUGGAA